rnacentral:rRNA from 1 species
AUGGGGGAUAACCCGGCGAAAGCCGGACUAAUACCGCAUACGACCUACGGGUGAAAGCGGGGGAUCGCAAGACCUCGCGCUAUUGGAGCGGCCGAUGGCAGAUUAGCUAGUUGGUGGGGUAAAAGCCUACCAAGGCGACGAUCUGUAGCUGGUCUGAGAGGACGACCAGCCACACUGGGACUGAGACACGGCCCAGACUCCUACGGGAGGCAGCAGUGGGGAAUUUUGGACAAUGGGCGAAAGCCUGAUCCAGCCAUGCCGCGUGUGGGAAGAAGGCCUUCGGGUUGUAAACCACUUGUGUCA